rnacentral:rRNA from 1 species
UACGUAGGGUGCAAGCGUUAAUCGGAAUUACUGGGCGUAAAGCGUGCGUAGGCGGUUGUGCAAGACCGAUGAUGAAAUCCCCGGGCUUAACCUGGGAAUGGCAUUGGUGACUGCACGGCUAGAGUGUGUCAGAGGGGGUAGAAGUUCCACGUGUAGCAGUGAAUGCGUAGAGAUGUGGAGGAAUACCGAUGGCGAAGCAGCCCCCUGGGAUAACACUGACGCUCAUGCACGAAAGCGUGGGGAGCAAACAGG